UACGUAGGGUGCGAGCGUUGUCCGGAAUUAUUGGGCGUAAAGAGCUCGUAGGCGGUGUGUCACGUCGGCCGUGAAAACCUGCAGCUUAACUGUGGCGUGCGGUCGAUACGGGCAUCACUGGAGUUCGGCAGGGGAGACUGGAAUUCCUGGUGUAGCGGUGAAAUGCGCAGAUAUCAGGAGGAACACCGGUGGCGAAGGCGGAUCUCUGGGCCAUUACUGACGCUGAGGAGCGAAAGCGUGGGGAGCGAACAGG
rnacentral:rRNA from 1 species